UGAUAGUAGGGGUUGAUUGUAGAGACCCAAAAGGGGUCUUGCAAUCUAUGGAAUCCCACAUUGCCUGUGAAAGCAUAUGAAAAAUGUGUUUAUAAGGAGUGAACUCCCUUAAAUGUGUAAAAGCAUUUUCCCACCCCAAAUAUCAUGGGAAAUGGGAGAGAGUUGAGACCUGAUCAAUAGUGGGAAGUUGAUACGAAGGUUGAUAGCACCAACGCCUUGGUUGAUCCAUCUCCUGCUCACAGUUUGGCUAAGCUUCUUCACAGAAGAAUUCCCCAGCUUCACAGAUACCAGCUUAACAGAUAAGCUUCUUCACAGACGUGCCUGCAGCUUCACAGAUAGGCUAAGCAAACGUGCCUGCAUAAAUACUAACCUCAAGGACCAAGGAUCCAUCUCCUGCUCGGAUGAAUUCACCAUCAUUUGAUCGGGCUUCUUUUUGAUGCGCUUAUUAAUAAAGCAGAUGGAGAUAAAGGGUGCACAAUUCAUCAAGCUCGCAAGAAGAAAGGGAUGAAGUCAGUUUAUUGGGAACCAUCGCUUCAAGAAAGCCUUCUUCUCCGUUCAAAGGAUAUUGCGCUUUCAAUAGUUUGCGUCUCCUCUACUGCAGUUGCAACAUUUAUGGUUCUUCUACAGGAAAACGUCGACGGUAGACCAGUUCCAGCCUUGUUCAGUGACCGACCGACGCUCUAUCAUCUGUUUCUAAUCUCUGCCCUCUGCGCAUUUCUGGGCUCCUUGGGUUCGCUUUUGAUCCAACACAAGCCAAGGGUCGAAAGAUUUUGCAGGGUUAUUGGCGUGGCUUUUAUGCUGUCAGCACUAGCCAUUGUCCUCUAUGCCACAGCUCUCUGGUUUGUAAUCCCCCUCCCCUCCUCAAUGUAAAAAAAUAUAUAUAAAAAAUUCCGAUGAUUAUGAAGAAUCUGUGUAAUGGUAUUUUAGUUUGCUUUUAUAUUGACUUUAGCUCAAUUACUCAAAGCUUUGUUGUUUGGAUUUUCUUUUCUUCUGGUCUCUUCUACUAUGUUUGAUGUGAAGUUGGGUUCAAUAGUUGUGAUUUGUGAAGUUUAGAGCAGCGAAAUUGAAAUUCUU